UACGUAGGGGGCUAGCGUUGUCCGGAAUCAUUGGGCGUAAAGCGCGCGUAGGCGGUCAGGUAAGUCCGGUGUGAAAGUCAAAGGCUCAACCUUUGAAUGCCGCUGGAUACUGCUUGACUUGAGUCCAGAAGGGGCAAGCUGGAAUUCUCGGUGUAGCGGUGAAAUGCGUAGAUAUCGAGAGGAACACCUGCGGCGAAGGCGGGUUGCUGGGCCGACACUGACGCUGAUGCGCGAAAGCCAGGGGAGCGAACGGG
rnacentral:rRNA from 1 species